rnacentral:rRNA from 1 species
UACGUAGGGUGCGAGCGUUAAUCGGAAUUACUGGGCGUAAAGUGUGCGCAGGCGGCAAAGCAAGUCGAGUGUGAAAGCCCCGGGCUUAACUUGGGAAUUGCGCUCGAAACUACUUUGCUGGAGUGUGGCAGAGGAAGGUGGAAUUCCACGUGUAGCGGUGAAAUGCGUAGAGAUGUGGAGGAACACCAAUGGCGAAGGCAGCCUUCUGGGCCAACACUGACGCUCAUGCACGAAAGCGUGGGGAGCGAACAGG